rnacentral:rRNA from 1 species
ACGGGUGAGUAACGCGUAAGGAACUUACCUGCGGGACUGGGAUAACGGAGGGAAACUUCUGACAAGACCGGAUAAAGUUACCGGGCAGCAUUGUAUGGUAAUGAAAGGGAACGCCUGCGGAGAGUCUUGCGUCCUAUUAGCUAGUUGGUUGGGUAAAGGCUGACCAAGGCGAAGAUAGGUAGCCGGCCUGAGAGGGUGGACGGCCACAAGGGGACUGAGAUACGGCCCUUACUCCUACGGGAGGCAGCAGUGGGGAAUAUUGGACAAUGGGGGCAACCCUGAUCCAGCAAUUCUGUGUGCACGAAGAAGGUUUUCGGAUUGUAAAGUGCUUUCAGCAGGGAAGAAGGAAGUGACGGUACCUGCAGAAGAAGCGACGGCUAAAUACGUGCCAGCAGCCGCGGUAAUACGUAUGUCGCGAGCGUUAUCCGGAAUUAUUGGGCAUAAAGGGCAUCUAGGCGGCCUGACAAGUCAGGGGUGAAAACCUGCGGCUCAACCGCAGGCCUGCCUUUGAAACUGUAAGGCUGGAGUACCGGAGAGGUGGACGGAACUGCACGAGUAGAGGUGAAAUUCGUAGAUAUGUGCAGGAAUGCCGAUGAUGAAGAUAGUCCACUGGACGGAAACUGACGCUGAAGUGCGAAAGCCGGGGGAGCGAACAGGAUUAGAUACCCUGGUAGUCCCGGCCGUAAACG